AGCCUCCUUUGUCUUACCGCAGACAGUACUCUCUCUGUGCUGACUGUAUAGAAACAGGAGGUAAAGUAUAAUUCCCUGCUACACCACAGCCAUGCUGCUUCUGUGGCUUGCGUUGUAUUGUUGACAGGGAGACACCA